GGUCAAUGAUGAUUAAUGAAAGGUCUGAUUGCACUAGUGAAAUUGCACAUCCACAACUUCCAGAGCUCCCAACAGUUUUUUCUUUCUUUCUUCCAUCCAUGCUCCAUUAAUGCUGACAGAUGUUAUGAAGCUGCUGACAUUAUGUGGGUAUCGUCAGUUCACGUUGCUUGCAGUCGAAAGCACUUAGAGUUGACUCUCUCCCAACAAAACCAGUCAAGGAGCUGGCAGUUCUGGAAUGUGUUCUUAACGUGCAUGAUCUUUAGUUUUCAAGCUGAGACC